CCGGGAAAUCUGAUAGCUCAACUAUAGGCGUUUCGGGGAGUACUGCCAGACUUGGAACCGGGAGAGGUAAGAGGUACUACAGGGGUAGGAGUGAAAUCUUGUAAUCCCUGUGGGACCACCUGUGGCGAAGGCGUCUUACCAGAACGGGUUCGACGGUGAGGGACGAAAGCUGGGGGCACGAACCGGAUUAGAUACCCGGGUAGUCCCAGCCGUAAACGAUGCUCGCUAGGUGUCAGGCAUGGCGCAACCGUGUCUGGUGCCGCAGGGAAGCCGUGAAGCGAGCCACCUGGGAAGUACGGCCGCAAGGCUGAAACUUAAAGGAAUUGGCGGGGGAGCACAACAACGGGUGGAAGCCUGCGGUUUAAUUGGACUCAACGCCGGACAACUCACCGGGGGCGACAGCAAUAUGUAGGCCAAGCUGAAGACUUUGCCUGAAUCGCUGAGAAGAGGUGCAUGG
rnacentral:rRNA from 1 species